GUACUUUGUCCCCCGGGCAUUGAUUUAUAAAAUGCUCCAGGGACAAAACUUAGCCUAUCUCUCAAGCAAGCAUAGCUUGUGAUGUAAACCACACGCUGUAGCUUACAUCCCAAGCUCACGCCCAUGCCUACCUAGCUUACAUGCCAAGCUAUCCCCCACUAUAUAAGCUAGCUCACAUCCAUCCAUCCAGGAGGAUGGACUCCCACGGCCACAAGGCCACUCACGCAUGCACACAUUCAUGCUACACUACUACUAGUGCUCUUGGCACUUGAGCUCACACACAGAUACGAAGCCAGAUGCCCACGACACUGACCUCAGAUAUAGCUCCAGAAGCAAUUCUGUACUGCCAGAUGUAUACAUUGCAUAUAUAUUCAGACAUGCAGGAGUGGGGAUAUUAUCUCUCCGAAGAGCCCCGAACCUGGGUAAAUCACCGCGUGAUGUUUGCCCAAUCCCGUCCCUUGACCUCCAAAGCAGUCUUGCCCUCACCACAAGCCACCUCGUGGCAUCUGUCGUCUCGCGAACCCGCCCGCGAGAUAACCACGACAGUUGGCGCCCACCGUGGGGUAAGCUGCCGCGGAAUCGCGGUCCGGGCGGGACCAUCUUCAUCAUCACCGCGGUGUCGCCGUCAUCUCUCCGGUAGCGCUCGAGGGCUCGACAUCAACACGCUCCCGGGCAAUUGCGCGAGACGGCGCGCCUUCGUCGUCGGCCUGGCCAUCUUCGUCACCUCCGCCGUGACGCCGCCGUCACCUCUCCGGCCGCGCUCGCGGGCUCGACUUCAACACGCCCGCGGGGCGGUGCAUCCUCCUCGUCGGCCUCGCCAUCUUCGUCGCCUCCGCUGCGACGCCGGCCGUCCGUCCACCCGCCGCGCCGCCUCGUUUUGGUCGGUCGUAUCCAUCCGUGCACCGCCCGCCUCGCUCGCCUUCCCUCCGCCAUGGCCUGGUUCUCAACCACCAUUAGUGCCCGGCAGCACCUUCUCUGUCCGCGACUCGUGAUGUUGCUCGCCUUCCUGCUCAUGCCCUGUACAUGCCCAGAUAAUCCCCAUACACUGCCCAUAUGCUACUCAGAUACUUCUCGUACCAUGGCCAGAUAAUGCCAUGCAUCACCAAAACCAUUGCCUGUACACUUCCGCGCAAGCCAGAUAAUAUCCAUUGUCUGCUCGUACGUUGACCGGAUGCGAGUCGGACGCUGCCCGGACUGUAGCAAUGCAGCCCACCCUCGGCUCCCUUCCUGCGGCCGCACAUUGCUGCAGCCCUGCCUCUACGCGCCGCUCUACUGCUCCCCAGCACCGCCCGUGCUGGUUGCUCCGCAUCUGCACACGCCGGCUGUUUUCCAGCCGCGCCAAGUCCCUUCUUCGGUUGCCUUCGAGCUGUGCCGGUCACGGCCCCGCUGCUACGCCAAGCGCUGCUCUCGCCUGCUCGAGCUCUGCUGCUCGCUCCAUCUUCUCCUGCCUCGCACGCGUCGCCUCGCUCCGCUCCACCAUCAUGGCCGAGGUCACCUCAAUGCCCCUGCGCGUCGCUUAGCCGGCUUCGUCCCGCGUCGCCGCCGCUCCUCUGCUGGGUCCGCGCGCGCCGGCCACUGCCGGGUCCGGCUCCGCCAGCCUCCCGCGCGCCGUCUGGCCGCGCCUCGUCGCUGGCUCCGCGCGCCUGCGUCGCCCCGCCUCGGUCGGCUCCGGUUUCCGCGUGCCCGCUGGCCAGCGCGGCCACGGCCGGCUCCGGCUCCCGCGCGGCCUCGACCUCUUCCUCGGACGACCGCGUCGCUCCUCCUCCGCCAAGCCCCCGUGCUCAGCCGCCUCCGCGCUCAGAUGUGCUGCUCCAGCUCCUACCCUUCCCGAGCACUCACGCCGGCUGGCCGGGUCGCCGCGGCCAGCACCGGAUCCAGCUCCCCCAGCAUCUCGUCCGGCCGCCUCGCUCCUCCGCGCUCAUCCCGCUCUGGCCUAUGCAUCAACCCGCGGCCGGCUCCGCCUCCGCCCCGUCCGCCCCGCCGAGUUGCCUCUGCACGCGGCCGGGUCGAGCCCGCCGGCUCGCGCCUCCCCGCGACCCACCCACAGGCUGGCUCCGCUCCCCGUCCUGCCUGCUCCGCGCCGGCCGCCUCGCGCCGUGCCGGGUCCCAGCACCCGGCCGCCAUCUCCACCAGCUCGCCUCGCGACCCGGCGCCUGCCGGCUCGUCCGCCACUCGGACGGCCGGGUUGCGUCCGCUUCCCGGCUCGCGCCCGCGACCCGGUAGGCCGGGUCACACCCGCUACCCGGCUAGUUGAGCAAAAAAAAUGCUGAAGCCGGCUGAAAAAAAAAUGCCGGCUGAAUAUGGGUCAGCUGCAGAAAAGAAAAGAAAAGGAAGAAAAAAGACAGAUGCGUCCGGCUGCCACAGCCGCGACCUGCCCGCGUCACCGUCUGGUCGCCCAGUCCGCAUGCCGGCUUCGACGCCUAGCCGGCUGGGGGCCCGACCCAUUCGCCCAUCUGCCUCAACACCGGCUAUGCCAAGCCGGCCCAGCCGUCAGUCCACCUCGACCGGUUGGGACCCUCCUUCGGGCACCCGGAGGCUCGAAGGCUAUCCCAGUGGGUGUGUCGGCGCGUUAGCGCCAAGCCGCGCCGACUGUCAUCGACAACCUCCGCCCCGUCAGCGCCAAAGCAAUGUGAUUUCCUCACCCGCAUACUUUCGCACCAUGUGCAAACACGGAUAACCCCGAGCGACGCUCGGGGACCACCUCCGCCUUUAUUACAGUUACACUACUGUUCGCCCCGGCGCCGGCUAGUCUCGGCCCGGAGGCUGGCCGCUCGGCUCGAUAUGUUCAUUUCCGCAGACAGCAUAGUAGCGCAUACGGUACCGAAGGUCCACUAUCAGCCACAGACCGCGGCGCGGCUGUCCGGCAAGCGAGAGCAAAAACUGGAGGUCACCCCACGCGAAAAACGUUCGGGAGAAGACGGCUUGGGCAACCCGGCCAUUUCCUUUAUGAGUAUCUACUCGGUCGAAUCUGCUCCUGUAGUCCGAGUACUGUACGCUCCACUCCGCGCCCACUCUUCGUAACAGCUAGAGGCCGGCUCCGAGCUGUCUAGCUAACAAGAGGCAAAGCCAAAGAGCGGAGGGGACAUGAAAAAGACUGAAGGGGCUCGGACGAAACCGAGUCGGCACCCUCCACAUAAAACUUGCAAUGCUAAAAAGCAAAUAUUUGAUAUAUCUGCGCAGACUAACCUUGUCUUUUGCACGAUCAUCGCUACGGGGAACCCCCUCCUCGCCCGGAGGCUCGGAGGCUACACGCGGGUUGCAGGCCCGACGCCGGCUGCAACUGGCGUUUCUGAUGCCACCGUCCGCUUCAUCAACAGCAAGACCCUCCGCAACUUUUCCAAGUUGCCUAGAGCUCGGAGGCUACACCCAGUAGGUGCGCUCGCGCGCCCCCACUCAGCCGGCGGAUUCCGUGUCCGCGCCCGGCACCCUCGGCGUCAUCGUCGGCUUCUUCAUCAACAGCAAGACCCUCCGCGCAACUUUUCCAAGUUGCCCGGAGGUUUGGAGGCUACACCAGUGGGUGCACUCGCGCGCCCCACUCAGCCGGCGGAUUCCGUGUCCGCGCCCGGCACCUUCGACGUCAUCGUCGUCUUCUUCAUCAACAACAAGACCCUCCGCGCAAUUUUUCCAAGUUGCCCGGAGGCUCGGAGGCUACACCCAAUGGGUGCGCUCGCGCACCCCCACUCAGCCGGGGACUCCGUGUCCGCACCCAGCCCCCUCGACGUCAUCGUCGGCUUCUUCAUCAACACCAAGACCCUCCGCCCAACUUUUCCAAGUUGCCCGGAGGCUCGGAGGCUGCACCCAGUGGUAGCGCUCGCGUGCCCCCACUCGGAACACGUCGCGCCUAUUGCACGCCCGCCGCCGGCUGCAACCGGCAUCUUCGUCGCCAUUUACUGCUUCAUCGACGCCCGCUAAAACCCUCCGCGCAACUUUUCCAAGUUGCCCGGAGGCUACUUACGGGGGGAUGACCCUCGGGUAGGCCCAAGACGGCGAACGACGCUUCAAAAACAUCGGGGCCAGCAACGCCCCUCAAUCCGGCUCGCACUUGGCCGGGUUGCUCAACCCGACCAAGUCCCUCAACCCGGCCGGACUCCUCAACCCUGCCGCCCGGCCGGGUCCCUGUCCGACUGCUCCAGCCGGCCUACUACGCGAAGUCAACCGCGACAUCACAUCCGACGCAACACCGACAAGACGGCCAUACUGCAACCAUUGUUGCUGAUAAAGCACAUAUUGUUCACUCGUCACGCGCGACAUCAUCUGCAGUGUACUUUGUCCCAUGGGCAUUGAUUUAUAAAAUGUCCCCAAAGACAAAACUUAGCCUAUCUCUCAAGAAAGCAUAGCUUGUGAUGUAAGCCACACGCCCAUGCCUGCCUAGCUUACAUGCCAAGCUAGCCCCCACUAUAUAAGCUAGCUCACAUCCAUCCAUCCAGGAGGAUGGACUCCCACGGCCACAAGGCCACUCACGCAUGCAC
rnacentral:lncRNA from 1 species